UGUUGAUCUUAACUAAAAUCUAAAUUUCAACAAACUUGCGCACAUCUUAUUAAUUGCUUGAAUCUACACAAGUAUUAAUCUUAUGUGAGCAAAAAAAAAAAAAAUGGUCUUUAAGUAUUAUGAUUACUUGAAUACAUGAUUUUACAUUGCAUUUUAAUAAUAUAAAUAUUACUUUUACUAUUUAAUUAGUAGGAUCUUACGAUCCAACGAUCCGAUUCUACUGAUCCAAUCCUACUCCCUUCACCGAUCUAAUUUAGGAUCCCGAUCCUGACAACCUUGGUUGAAUGUAAGUCACCUCAAUCUUUCAAAAAAAUAAAAAUAAAACUAUUGCCUCUGUUAUUUCUAUAUGUGCUUAAUAUUUACGAUUUUCGGAAAUAUUAUACGAAGUAAUAAAGUUGAUACAGUGAUUGGGUGUAAAAAAAAAUUUGAUAAAAUAAGAUAAUGUAACAAGGUGGGUUAAUGUAAGAAAUAGUUGGAUAAAAUAAGAGAGAGGCGUAAAUGGUUUGGGUAAAAGGGAUAAUAUAGUAAAUGAGGUUUUUGUAAACACCAAAUUUGUGUCUCCCCUUUUUAGCGUCUAAUAACGGAUUUAACCUAGUCUAAAAAAAAAAGUUCCGAUCAAUGAGAUUUUGCCCUGUAAUUAAGACAAAAAUCUGUACAUGAUAUGCCUCAUAUUCGACACUCAGGCCCCUUUGUAAAAAUAGCUGCUUCUUCCCUUCCCAUAGUAAAACUUCUAAACCAAUUGUCUGUUGGUUCAGUGGUGAUUGAGACUAAACUUGGUAGGGAGAAGUCGCAUAACCCGUGUUCAAUCCCUCUCAACAACAAUUGCGAGGGGACUGAAACCUAUCCAACCAGAACUCGCCCCCAAAUCCGUUUUAACCCCAAUGGUAAACCCCAUCAUCAAGAACUUCUUUUCAAGUUGCAUAUAAUUUGGAUACUUUAAAUGUUGAUUUAGAGGCUAGAACUUGCACAUGUAAGAGGUGAGACCUAACUGGUGUACCAUGUGCCCAUGCAGUGGCUUGCAUAUUCUUUUGUCAAUAUAACCCCGAGGAUUAUGUUGCGAAUUGUUAUAAGAAAGAUACUUACUUAAAGAGUUAGGCUGCGUUCUAUUCACCUGAUUUUCACUUAUUUUUCCUGAACUUAUCUUAUCUGAACUUAUCUGAACUUAUCUGAACUUAACUGAACUUAUCUGAACUUAUCUGAACUUAUUAGAACUUAUUAGAACUUAUCAAAACUUAUUUUAGUUAUAAAUUGUACUUGGCCAACCCUUAUUUUUCCUGAAAUUAUCUUAUCUGAACUUAUCUGAACUUAUUUUUCCUGAAAUAAGUGAAAAUAAGGUGAAAAGAACAGGGCCUUACAGAAACACUAUCCCACCUAUUGUUGGUGAGAGACAUUGGCCAAGGGUAGAUUUACCACUUCAUCCACCUCCCAUCAAAAUAGGACCUGGUAGGCCCAGGAUAAAUAGGAGAAAAGCCCCCCAUGGGAACCCCAAGAAGCCCGGGAGACUGACUAAACAUGGUAUUGAAAUGACUUGCUCUAUUUGUAAAUCAAAGCUUCACAACAAGAGAAGAUGCCCCGAUAAGGAUAAAGUUAUGGAACAACCACAAAAAAGACAAAGAGUAGAUAAAAACAAUGAUGUGGCAUCCUCUUCGGCAACUUCAUACCAUGUUGAUCAGUCCAGUGACGGACCUUGAACGGUUUUAUGAGGGGGGCCGGUAGAAAAAAAUUAAGCAAUAUACUAUUUAAUUAUACAAUUAUACACAAAUUUUAGGGGGGACCGUAACUAAAAAUACACUACAAAAUUUUUCGGCUGGGGGGCCAGGCCCACCUCCAGUAUUGAAUGCCAUUGCUGAGCCAACCGGGAUUGGAAAGGGGGGAGAGUUAUUAGGAGUGGAAAGGGUUCUAGAGGUGGAAGGAGAAGUAGAGGAGGCAAAACAGGAAAUACACUAAGUGGAAAAGAGAAAAGGGACAGGAAGGACAAUCACUGUACCUCAAGGAUUUGGUGUAUAUAAUGCUUGGGAGUGGCUCAAGCGAUGACCUGCGGAGCUGGGCUGGUUAACCUGUGCUAGGUGCUGGUUCAGUUAGGGUCCAUUCUUCUUACCUAUUAAAAAAAAAAAAAAAAAAAGGAUUUGGUGUAUUUAUUGAUAACUAGACCUGGUUAUUGGAUAGGGUAGUCCAAUGGAUAUAGGGUUAGGGUCAAGUUAAUAGGGCUUUUAUUGGGCAGGGCUCUUAUUGGACAGGGCCUUUAUUGGACAGGGUCAUUAUAGGGUCAAACUUAUACUACACUUAUUUUGAAAAUUAAAAUAGUAAUGAUACAAAAAAUUACGUGUGUAGCUUCGUAUUUACUUGUACUUGCACAUGACUCUUUUGUUUUUCAUUUUUCAUUGCUCGCUUAUUGACCCGCCCACUAAUGACCCGCGACCCGCUUUUAACCUGCCCGUUAUCGACCCGCUAAAAAUGACCCUUUCAAUACCCGACCCUCUUUUGACCCGCAUCGACCCUGACCCGACCCGCUCGAUAACUAGGUCUAUUGACAACCAUGGUUCAGCAUUUGUAAAUACACCUGGUCAGAUUGGAGGGCCUAGGGAUGUGACUCAAGCAUCAACUUCGGCAAGUGGAAGUCAAGCAUCUACUGCCACCAACUAGUGUCAAAUAUGUUCUUUUGGGAGCUAAAAAAUUCAACCAUGUAGUAGUUGUAGAAACUCGUAAAAUAUGCUCUUUUGGAUAUCAGUUAAAAAUCAAUCCGUGGACUAUGGACCAUGAUGCACAUAGAGCAUGGUGCACCAUGUGCACAAAAAGAACACAUGUGUAUAAACAAAAGAACAUGACACUAC